rnacentral:rRNA from 1 species
CAGUAGCCACGGUAAUACGAAGGGUGUAAGCGUUACUCGGAAUUACUGGGCGUAAAGCGUGCGUAGGUGGUGGUUUAAGUCCGUUGUGAAAGCCCUGGGCUCAACCUGGGAAUUGCAGUGGAUACUGGGUCACUAGAGUGUGGUAGAGGAUAGUGGAAUUUCCGGUGUAGCAGUGAAAUGCGUAGAGAUCGGAAGGAACAUCUGUGGCGAAGGCGACUAUCCGGGCCAACACUGACACUGAGACACGAAAGCGUGGGGAGCAAACAGGAUUAGAUACCCGAGUAGUCCCUGUCUCUUAUAC